CUCAAACUCAAAACCAACUAAAACUUCCUCAAAAUUUCCUCCAAAUUAAUUCAAACCACUCUGCGUUGAAAUGGAGACAAAAAAUAUUGUAAUCAUAUUCUCUAUUAUUAUUGCCAUACUCGUAAUCAUCGAUAUCCUGCUUAUUGUUUACAUUAUACUGGAUGUGGAAUAUGGGCGUACUGUGUUACAACGUGCUAGGCGACCGGAUCCAAUAGAACAUCAAGACUUUGCUAAAGUACAAAGGCUUUGGGAAUUUAAAUUAUGAAUCAGAAAAUUAUAUUGGCCCUGGUUGGCAUAUCAGUGAUUGUGUGCCUCCUUAUCCUGAUUUUAAUGUUCGUUUACUUCAUAAUUGACAAUCCAUACGAUGUUGCGAAACCUACUACCAUCGAAACCACAGAACAAACGGAACCUGAACCUGUAAAUGUACCCGAAGUUGGUGAUGGUGCGGGGGACGCCCCACCUGCAGCCUUUUAAAAAUUAUUUUCAGACACAUUUCCCCCGGUUCGGCGUUGCUUGGUCUUUCUUUGUCAAAUUCGGAUCAGUGUCGCGCGGCGCACAGCGGUGUCAACUUGUCGUGUGCAGCGCAAAUUCAUAGUAUCACAGUGUCCAUCAGCGUUUCCAGUGUUGUAAGCCCAGGCCAAGACCAACGCCGACCGAACGGAUCUAUAUACAGGAGCUUAUUUGGAUACCGAUACCGAUUCAGAUCCCGAUCCCGAUCCCGAUUCCCGUUUCCGUUUACCGUUUUCAUUCCGAUCCCACAUUUUGAAACCUAUUGCAAAGGCAAUCUCCACCCAUUAGCCCUAUAACAGUAUAACCGUUGAACUGAGGAAGCGCCAGCUGCCAAAGCGCGGAAGAAUGCCGACCAUAACCGAGGAUUGCAUAGAUGGAUUCCAACAAUAUUACUCGAGACCGCCAGAGAGGCCGAAGAAGAAGUCCCUGAAGCAGAUGGUCUACGAUUCAGAGGACAACUCCUACUUCGGACGUUCGAUAGACAG